rnacentral:rRNA from 1 species
GUGGAUUAGAUACCCUGGUAGUCCACGCCGUAAACGAUGAGCACUAGGUGUCGGGGUAGCAAUACUUCGGUGCCGCAGUUAAUGCAUUAAGUGCUCCGCCUGGGGAGUACGCACGCAAGUGUGAAACUCAAAGGAAUUGACGGGGACCCGCACAAGCAGCGGAGCAUGUGGUUUAAUUCGAAGCAACGCGAAGAACCUUACCAGGACUUGACAUCCCUCUGACCGGCUCUUAACCGAGCCUUUCCUUCGGGACAGAGGUGACAGGUGGUGCAUGGUUGUCGACAGCU